CCUGAUUCAAAUAUAGACCACAGAGGAAAGGCAUUUCUUCUUCAAACAAUGCAGAUGCUAUAAUACAGGCAUGCAAAACAGUUCACCAUUUUUAAAGGCUAGUACAGGGCCAUAUUUUGACCAAAGCGCUCAAUCUGUAUCUGGACUCUACUGCUUCAGUUUUCUGGCUGUGGGUUCAUAUGAUGGAAUGUUCCUUUGUCUAGAAGCGUUGACUCAACACAGAAAUCUAGAAUGUCAGAGAGAACGAUGAACUAGAAAGAACCUUUCUUCCUGACAUCCAGUUGUAUGUGUUUGUGUGUGUUGGAUGGAAUAACAUUCAGUCGUACAUGCCCCACAAAAGCAGUGGUACGACUCAGAUACACCUUGAGCAUUCCUCCAUGAAAACUUACAUGAACUGUAGCUGAAAGGCCGUUCUGACAUAGGAUAGCUAACUAGGCAUCACCUAAAAAGAAAAGGAAACGCAUCAUGCCAAAAAAGCAAAAAGGGUAUGUAGAUCUGCAUAACAUUUGCAUAUAUAAAUAUAUACCGUAUUUUUCGCUCUAUAGGACGCACCCGACCAUAGGACACACCUUGUUUUAGAGGGGGAGAAUAAGACAAAAAAAUUAUUCUCCCCCUCUCUGCGCAGCGCCCCUUCAGCGAAGCAGCAGGAGAAACGGAGCCCCUUCCAUUUCUCCUCCCGCUUCGCUGAAGGGGCGCUGCGCAGAGAGGGGGAGAUUUUUUUUUUCUUGUUCUCCCCCUCUAAAACAAGGUGCGUUCAAGGUGCGUUCAGUCGCCUUCAGGCAGCUACCUUGGAAGCCUGGAGAGCGAGAAGGGUCAGUGCGCACCAACCCGUUUCGCUCUCCAGGCUUCAGUGAAGGCAACCCGAAGCCUCCAGAGCGCGGCGGGAGUUCCCGCUCUGGAGGCUUUGGGUUCCUUUCGACCUGCUCUUUGGGGCUCCCCAGCUUGUGGGCCUGCCGGUGGGGGGAAGCGCACUUUCCCCCACUGCCAGCCUCAAAGAGCAGGUCGGGGCUGGUGGGGGAAGCCCAGGUCCCCCCCCCCCAGCCCCAUGGACCACACAUGCGCUCCAUAAGACGCACAGACAUUUCCCCUUAGAUUUUAAGAGGAAAAAAGUGUGUCUUAUGGAGCGAAAAAUACGGUAGAUAUUAUGUAUUUUUAUACUUUCAACUGCCCUGUGAUCUAUGGAGGAAGGGUGGUAUAUAAAUUUCAUUGAUGAUGAUAAUGAUCAUGUUUUAUCUUUUUAUCUUAUUGCACACAGCAUCGGUAGGUUUUGGUUGUGAAGCGG